CUGAACCAGCCAAGUAGCGUGAAGGAUGACUGCCCUAUGGGUCGUAAACUUCUUUUAUUAAAGGAAUAAAGUCGGGUAUGCAUACCCGUUUGCAUGUACUUUAUGAAUAAGGAUCGGCUAACUCCGUGCCAGCAGCCGCGGUAAUACGGAGGAUCCGAGCGUUAUCCGGAUUUAUUGGGUUUAAAGGGAGCGUAGAUGGAUGUUUAAGUCAGUUGUGAAAGUUUGCGG
rnacentral:rRNA from 1 species